GCAAGAGUGGUGUGAUCUUCUGCCUGAGCCAGCUGGGUGCCCCACAUUAUCACAAACUUCUACCUUGCUGCAGAGUAUGGGCCCUGGGAUGUAACAGAAGUAGAGGCAAAUCCAAUUGUACAGCAGGUGAAACGGCUGUCCCAAGCGUAGACACAUUCUCCCUUGUCAUGAGAAGGUGCCAAGCCAAGGAUGAAAGCUGUUUAGGAUUUUGCAGCCUACUGGGGUCACCGUUUUCAGACAUCUAUUAGUGCCAUAUUGUAGUCGCAUGAGAGGCUCAGUUAAUAAAGAUUUCUGGGGGCGCCUGGGUGGCGCAGUCGGUUAAGCGUCCGACUUCAGCCAGGUCACGAUCUCGCGGUCCGGGAG